rnacentral:rRNA from 1 species
GACGAACGCUGGCGGCGUGCUUAACACAUGCAAGUCGAGCGGUAAGGCCCUUUCGGGGGUACACGAGCGGCGAACGGGUGAGUAACACGUGGGUGACCUGCCCUCAGCUCUGGGAUAAGCCUGGGAAACCGGGUCUAAUACUGGAUAUGACUCCAUGACGCAUGUUGUGGGGUGGAAAGCCUUGUGCGGCUGAGGAUGGGCCCGCGGCCUAUCAGCUUGUUGGUGGGGUGANGGCCUACCAAGGCGACGACGGGUAGCCGGCCUGAGAGGGCGACCGGCCACACUGGGACUGAGACACGGCCCAGACUCCUACGGGAGGCAGCAGUGGGGAAUCUUGCGCAAUGGGCGAAAGCCUGACGCAGCGACGCCGCGUGAGGGAUGACGGCCUCGGUGUAAC